UGUUAGGACGGCUGCAAACACACC
rnacentral:sRNA from 1 species